rnacentral:rRNA from 1 species
AGUGAACGCUGGCGGUAGGCCUAACACAUGCAAGUCGAACGGCAGCACAGUAAGAGCUUGCUCUUACGGGUGGCGAGUGGCGGACGGGUGAGGAAUACAUCGGAAUCUACUUUUUCGUGGGGGAUAACGUAGGGAAACUUACGCUAAUACCGCAUACGACCUACGGGUGAAAGCAGGGGAUCUUCGGACCUUGCGCGAUUGAAUGAGCCGAUGUCGGAUUAGCUAGUUGGCGGGGUAAAGGCCCACCAAGGCGACGAUCCGUAGCUGGUCUGAGAGGAUGAUCCGCCACACUGGAACUGAGACACGGUCCAGACUCCUACGGGAGGCAGCAGUGGGGAAUAUUAGACAAUGGGCGCAAGCCUGAUCCAGCCAUACCGCGUGGGUGAAGAAGGCCUUCGGGUUGUAAAGCCCUUUUGUUGGGAAAGAAAAGCAGCAGGUUAAUACCCCGCUGUUCUGACGGUACCCAAAGAAUAAGCACCGGCUAACUUCGUG